CUGGGGCCAGCUUACUCCUGGACUUCCCUGCUAUUUGAACCCAUCAUUCCAGUUUGGCUUAACUCAGAAAUACAUCUCACUCUGAGAUGAAUAUGGAUGGUUACAAUAAAAAUUAAGUGCAUGUACGGUAAAUGGGCAUUGUUGGAUAAAUGCAGUGAUGGAAGAAAAUAAGAUGGUGGUCAUGCCAUUUCUACCUGACUUCCUUUUCUCCAACUUGAUGAUACUCUACCUUCAGAAACAGGAACCUUUGUUCUUAAACAGAGGAAGUUGUAAACUCUCCAAUAGCAAAUUUUAUUAACUCAUAGGCAAUACUAUAAAUGAUGGUACUCUAUUGAGUCAAUGCCUUCAACAUGAAUCAGGAGAUUAACUUUUGCUGCAAACUGUCAAUCUUUACUCCCAAAUUAUGAAUUGACAACUACUCCAUCAAUGCCCAAUUCUUAUUAAGUGCAUUUUCUACUGGCUCAAGUUCUAUCUUUGAUUGCUCUUUUCGGAA
rnacentral:lncRNA from 1 species